rnacentral:rRNA from 1 species
UACGUAGGGAGCAAGCGUUGUUCGGAUUUACUGGGCGUAAAGGGCGCGUAGGCGGCGCGGUAAGUCACUUGUGAAAUCUCUGAGCUUAACUCAGAACGGCCAAGUGAUACUGCAGUGCUAGAGUGCAGAAGGGGCAAUCGGAAUUCUUGGUGUAGCGGUGAAAUUCGUAGAUAUCGGGAGGAACACCAGUGGCGAAGGCGGCGAUCUGGGAAGAUACUGACGCUGAGGUGCGAAAGCGUGGGGAGCAAACAGG